rnacentral:rRNA from 1 species
GUGCCAGCAGCCGCGGUAAUACGGAGGGGGCUAGCGUUGUUCGGAAUUACUGGGCGUAGAGCGCACGUAGGCGGAUAGUUAAGUUAGAGGUGAAAGCCCAGGGCUCAACCCUGGAACUGCCUUUAAUACUGGCUGUCUAGAGAUCGAGAGAGGUGAGUGGAAUUCCGAGUGUAGAGGUGAAAUUCGUAGAUAUUCGGAGGAACACCAGUGGCGAAGGCGGCAACCUGGCUCGAUACUGACGCUGAGGCGCGAAAGCGUGGGGAGCAAACAGGAUUAGAAACCCUGGUAGUCC